GACGAACGCUGGCGGCGUGCUUAACACAUGCAAGUCGAACGGAAAGGCCCUGCGUGUGUGGGGUGAUCGAGUGGCGAACGGGGGAGUAACAGGUGAGUAACCUGCCCUUGACUUUGGGAGAACUUCAGGAAACUGGGGCUAAUACCGGAUAGGAGAUCCUGCUGCAUGGUGGGGGUUGGAAAGUUUCGGCGGUUGGGGAUGGACUCGCGGCUUACCAGCUUGUUGGUGGGGUAGUGGCUUACCAAGGCUUUGACGGGUAGCCGGCCUGAGAGGGUGACCGGCCACCUUGGGACUUAGAUACGGCCCAGACUCCUACGGGAGGCAGCAGUGGGGAAUAUUGCACAAUGGGCGGAAGCCUGUUGCAGCAACGCCCCGUGCGGGAUGCCCGCCUUCGGGUUGUAAACCGCUUUCGCCUGUGACGAAGCGUGAGUGACGGUAAUGGGUAAAGAAGCACCGGCUAACUACGUG
rnacentral:rRNA from 1 species